rnacentral:rRNA from 1 species
UUGGAGGGCAAGUCUGGUGCCAGCAGCCGCGGUAAUUCCAGCUCCAAUAGCGUAUAUUAAAGUUGUUGCAGUUAAAAAGCUCGUAGUUGAAUUUCGGGACUAUCAUGUCGGUCGUGCCUCGGUACGUACUGGCAUUGUUGGUUUCUACCUUCUGACGAACCAUGAUGUCAUUUAUUUGGUGUCGUGGGGAAUCAGGACUGUUACUCUGAAAAAAUUAGAGUGUUCAAAGCAGGCCUAUGCUCGAAUACAUUAGCAUGGAAUAAUAGAAUAGGACGUGUGGUUCUAUUUUGUUGGUUUCUAGGACCGCCGUAAUGAUUAAUAGGGAUAGUCGGGGGGAUCAGUAUUCAAUUGUCAGAGGUGAAAUUCUUGGAUUUAUUGAAGACUAACUACUGCGAAAGCAUUUGCCAAGGAUGUUUUCAUUAAUCAGUGAACGAAAGUUAGGGGAUCGAAGACGAUCAGAUACCGUCGUAGUCUUAACCAUAAACUAUGCCGACUAGGGAUCGGAUGAUGUUAAUUUUUUAACGACUCAUUCGGCGCCUUACGGGAAAC